rnacentral:rRNA from 1 species
UUGGAGGGCAAGUCUGGUGCCAGCAGCCGCGGUAAUUCCAGCUCCAAUAGCGUAUAUUAAAGUUGUUGCAGUUAAAAAGCUCGUAGUUGAAUUUCGGGAUUAAUUUAUUGGUCGUGCUAUUGUACGUACUGGUAUUAUUGAUUCCUACCUUCUGACGAACCAUGAUGUCAUUAAUUUGGUGUCAUGGGGAAUCAGGACUGUUACUUUGAAAAAAUUAGAGUGUUUAAAGCAGGCUCACGCUUGAAUACAUUAGCAUGGAAUAACGAAAUAGGACGUUUGAUUCUAUUUUGUUGGUUUCUAGGAUCGACGUAAUGAUUAAUAGGGAUAGUUGGGGGCAUUAGUAUUCAAUUGUCAGAGGUGAAAUUCUUGGAUUUAUUGAAGACUAACUACUGCGAAAGCAUUUGCCAAGGAUGUAUUCAUUAAUCAAGAACGAAAGUUAGGGGAUCGAAGACGAUCAGAUACCGUCGUAGUCUUAACCAUAAACUAUGCCGACUAGGGAUCGGAUGAUGUUAAUUUUUUAAUGACUCAUUCGGCGCCUUACGGGAAAC